rnacentral:rRNA from 1 species
GGCGAACGCUGGCGGCGUGCUUAACACACGCAAGUCGAACGGAAAGGCCCUGCUUUUGUGGGGUGCUCGAGUGGCGAACGGGUGAGUAACACGUGAGUAACCUGCCCUUGACUUUGGGAUAACUUCAGGAAACUGGGGCUAAUACCGGAUAGGAGCUCCUGCUGCAUGGUGGGGGUUGGAAAGUUUCGGCGGUUGGGGAUGGACUCGCGGCUUAUCAGCUUGUUGGUGGGGUAGUGGCUUACCAAGGCUUUGCCGGGUCGCCGGCCUGAGAGGGUGACCGGCCACAUUGGGACUGAGAGACGGCCCAGACUCCUACGGGAGGCAGCAGUGGGGAAUAUUGCACAAUGGGCGGAAGCCUGAUGCAGCAACGCCGCGUGCGGGAUGACGGCCUUCGGGUUGUAAACCGCUUUCGCCUGUGACGAAGCGUGAGUGACGGUAAUGGGUAAAGAAGCACCGGCUAACUACGUG